GAAGGGGGCUAGCGUUGUUCGGAAUUACUGGGCGUAAAGCGCGCGCAGGCGGUUUUUCAAGUCAGUGGUGAAAGCCCGGAGCUCAACUCCGGAACUGCCAUUGAAACUGUAAAACUUGAGGAUGAGAGAGGUGAGUGGAAUUCCCAGUGUAGAGGUGAAAUUCGUAGAUAUUGGGAAGAACACCGGUGGCGAAGGCGGCUCACUGGCUCAUAUCUGACGCUCAGGCGCGACAGCGUGGGGAUCAAACAGGAUUAGAUACCCUGGUAGUCCACGCCGUAAACGAUGAAUGCUAGCCGUUGGGCAGCUUGCUGUUCAGUGGCGCAGCUAACGCAUUAAGCAUUCCGCCUGGGGAGUACGGCCGCAAGGUUGAA
rnacentral:rRNA from 1 species